AAAUGUUACAGUGCUUUUAGAAUUUGUCUAGCAGGCUUUCCUGUUUUUGCUGGAAAGCCCCA
ensembl:snRNA U7 U7 small nuclear RNA